rnacentral:lncRNA from 1 species
GAGUCUUGAAAAUGCCCACGUGUCCUGUAGGAGGAAUGCCAGACUCUUACAGACUCACCCUCUUUCCCAUCUCUGUCUCCACCAAGGCCCACCCCUGCCCACUCCCCUGCUCCUCUGUUUUCAGUCUCUGUGAAUGGAAUCACCAGAAACGGGAAUUUCUUUGGGCCUCUGCAGGAAACUAGCAUACUUGACUUCAACCUCUCGUUAAUUCCUCUGUUUAUUCAAAAAUAAUGGGUUCCUUAUUGCUAUUUUAACAUGAAGUAAUAAAUAUUUUUUUAAUUUCUUAUUUUAAAUUUCUAAUAUAGUGAAUACUGAUAGCUGUAACCAACAUAAACAAAAUCUCUUUAGGUCUUCAACAAUAGUUGAGAAUGAAAAAGGGCCGGGCAGCACUUUGAGAGGCCGAGGUGGGUGGAUCACGAGGUCAGGAGACCGAGAUCAUCCUGGCUAACACGGUG